GUAAGGAAUAUUGGUCAAUGGACGAAAGUCUGAACCAGCCAUGCCGCGUGAAGGAUGAAGGCCCUCUGGGUUGUAAACUUCUUUUAUCUGGGACGAAAAAAGGGUAUUCUUACUCACUUGACGGUACCAGAGGAAUAAGCACCGGCUAACUCCGUGCCAGCAGCCGCGGUAAUACGGAGGGUGCAAGCGUUAUCCGGAUUCACUGGGUUUAAAGGGUGCGUAGGUGGGUAUUUAAGUCAGUGGUGAAAUCUCCGAGCUUAACUCGGAAACUGCCAUUGAUACUAUUUACCUUGAAUGCCCUGGAGGUAAGCGGAAUAUGUCAUGUAGCGGUGAAAUGCUUAGAUAUGACAUAGAACACCAAUUGCGAAGGCAGCUUACUACGGGGUGAUUGACACUGAGGCACGAAAGCGUGGGGAGCAAACAGGAUUAGAUACCCGUGUAGUCC
rnacentral:rRNA from 1 species